rnacentral:lncRNA from 1 species
AUCAUGUCUGGAACAUAAUGGAACAUAUAAGAAAUGUCGACAUAAGAUGAUUUUGCAAGGUAGCACUUGAAUUUAUGAAUAUAAAUGAGGAUCAGGAGCCCACGUCUAUACUAGAGUGCACUCAAAGACUUGAUUGAUUAAAUGGUACAAGACCAUAAAACGUGGAGCUAAGAAUCAUUAAGAGAAGGAAUGAGUUUGGUCCGACCUUAAGGACACCAUUCGAUGUAAAAACCAGUAGGACACAAAUGGGUCUUUG